CCCACCAUGUUGGUAAGGCAUUCAUUUUUUUAAUUUCAUUAAGACAAUGCAAGUCAACUAGAGGUUGCUAGAUGAAUCCAGAGUUGGCUAGCAUAUGAGCAGAAUUUUGUGAAUGAAUGGUUUCAACUAAAAUGCAUGGUAUGAGCAUUGUCAGUAUUAUUGUAAUUCCAGUCUAGUCUUUGUGAUGUUAACCUGUACAUGUUCAUGUGUGGACUACCAAAGGUUAGGCCAACACAGGUUACGACCACUAAGUGGGAUUGAGUACCCUCUGCCAGCGAUGGUCAACGGAAGACUCAAGAUAAGAAGCUGCUAUCAAAGGCCGAGCCACAACGUCCAACUCACUCCGGCAGGCUUGUCAGCUGACCCAUCAGUUCCUUCCCAAGGCUAUGCGUGGCCACAGCCUUCAUCCUCGACAAUGAACUUUACGACCUGGGCGCAGGCGACGAGGCAUGAUGGAGCAGUUACAGAAGUACAGGAGCUCAGCGCAGUUUGAGAUGAUCAAGAUGCUGCAGAAGAGCAGUGUACAGCAGCUCUGUGCUUGCACUGAUGCUCCUGAUUCACGCUGUGGAACCAGCAGAGGUUGAGGCAGCAUUCCUUCUUCGUAUACCUAUACUUCAAGGCAGGUUGGAUUAUUGAUGACCAGUACAGCCCCUUUUUGAUUUUGCAUGCCAAAGAAAGGCACCACUUUUGACCCCUUUUGAUGGCUUGCGGACUUAAGGGAAUUUUCUUUUCAGAAGGCCUGUUGAAAUCUUUGGAUUUUUGCCCGAUGUUCCA